GGACCGCAGCCGGGGCGGGGCUUGUUAUUCUGAAAGAGGGCGGAGCCUCCUCUGGCGAUGUCAUAUACUCGCAAGCCUGGGCACGCCCUUCAGGGCUGCGCGUGGUGGGAAAAGGGGGUGGGGCAGGCGCCACCGCCUUGGUGACACCAUCUAGGGAAUGGAAUGUGGGGGCGGGGCCGUGGCGGCCUCAACCCGGUCACCACUGCUGGGAAAGCCGAAGGGAGCGGGAAGGAGGGAGGAGUGGUACUAAGCGCAGCAGAGAAAUACGGUAAUGAAAACGAAGCUGUCGCUGGGCUUCUCUGCGCGUACCCCAGCUCGGUUCCCAGCGGUGGUAGCAGCCCGCCGGCAUAGCUCCUACUCGCCUGCCCGGUGCGUGGCAGCCAGCUCCGCUCGCCCGCCCGCAGCAGAGCAAGGGCAGCCUCAGUGCUGUCACUCCGUAGAAGUGAGUGGCGUGUUACUCAGUAAAUCUACUGAUGGGACAGUCAUGGAGGAUGCAAACUAAGUUGUACAGCAGUGCCCUGUGGAAUUCGGUAGCAGCUCCAGACAGCUACAAGAGGACCUGUCACCCUUUGCACCUGACCAGAUCCAGCAGCUUCCACUCCACUCAGGAGCUUGCACCACCUGUGAAAGAGCUUCUGAAUCGUCUUGAAGAGCCUACAUCCUGUGCUCAUCAAUAGCAGACCCAAGAGCAUAAGUCCAUGAGAGGAUAAGUGUCAGGCCUGUCAUUUCACCUUUCCCCCCCCCCCUCAUUUCACCUUUUCCCCUUUCCCUCAGGUCACCUUCACAGUACAGUCUCUGCAUAGCAUCUGAUUUACUAAAAUUUUAAGUGAUCUCUGGACUUUUUUGCUGUUGGUUGUCAGUUCUUCCUUUUUCCCAUCCAACCUCUUUACUACCCAGCCUCCCUUUUCCUGUCCAGCCUGUCUCCUUUCUCCCUCUAGUUUUCUUCCUUCUGACUUAGUCCUAAAACUAAUUUCUUCCCCACCAGUCUCAUUUCACCCACUCCUAUUUCAAUGCAAGAUAACCAAUAAGAAAAGAUAACCCAUACCUACCCCAUUAAGAGAUAUGCAUAACAAUUUAAACAACAGCAUGUUGUAAUCUUGUCCUCACCUUCCCUCCCUCUACUUGUUUUGGCUCUGUUUAGACUCUGUUUGGCUCUGUUUAGACUGGAACUUCUUCAGUCAGGGACCAUGAUAAUUAAUCUAUAAAGCACCAAGCCCACCUUGCAUUUGAUAUAAAUACCUAAACACAUCCCCUUCUCUUUCUAGGGUAUACUGGUAUUAGAGAAGAAAUACUGCCAUAGAGAAAAAAUGACUUUCCUUUUUUCUUUUCAUUUUAAGUUUAAUAUUAAAUACAGGCUUUCUGUAUGCCCAAGAUUUCAGACUUAAGCUAGACUGAUUCUAUUGGUAAACGAAGGACCAUAUAUGUCCCUCUACGUGCACAUGAAAGUUGUUAAUGUGGAUAUGGAGCAGUAUGCGUCCCCAAGGACGCUACAAAAUUGCCACAAUAUAAGAAACUGAGCUUUACUGAAAAAAGUGGCACUACAGGAAGAUAACUGUCCUGGGAACAUAGGAACUGUCAUGCUAGAGUCAACUGGUUGUCCAUUUAUCCCAGUAUUUGGUCUGUGAUAGUGACCAGUACCAGUUACAUUAUAGGAAAGUGCAAGGAGCCUGCCCAUAAGGGAAGUUCUCCCAUCAGUUAGUGGAUGGCUUUGGCCCUGUAACAUAGAGGUUUUAUAUCUUCUAUAUCCUGCUAAUGUAACUGCAUGUUCUCCUCUGAGUCCAGUCUUUAUUAAAAUCCUACUCAGCUUUUUGCUUUUGUGACCUUUGUAGGCGUGAGUUCCACAGCCUUUUUUUUUUUAAAUGCAGCAUGUAUUUCCUUUCAUGGGUUUUAAGUGUUGCCUCCUAAUUUCUAUUUCUACUAAGCUAUGCUUUUAAAAAAGAUAGGAUAAGUAUUGCUGAGCACAGAAUACUAGGUGAGUGCAUUUUUAGGCAAAGUUUAAAAACUUUCUAUACUCUGAUCAGACCCCACUGCUACCUUUUUACAGAAAAGCAAGAAUCUAGUUCAGACUCAUCUGUCCCCAAGCUGUGACAAUUCAAGAUAGUACCAGAAAUCAAGUUGAAGUGAUGAAUACACUGAAAACUGCUUAUAGGCUUUAGAAUCUUUCAGAAUCUUAAAAUGUGUAGUGUAUUUAUAUUAUUGAUACUUUAAAAAUGAAAUUUAAAAAUGCUAUGGGCAAGAUAUGAAACAGUAAAUAAAAUGAACAUUUUAUUGCUUAUUAAAAUAACUUAAAUUCCUCUACAAUUCGUUAAAAACUACCAUAAAAGAAAUCAUUCCAGGGUGCAAGAUUGUAAGGAUUAACUUUUCCAUUAUUGAUAGCACUGUCUUUCUGCCUCAGAACACGACAAAUGCGUGUGCAUGCAUAUAAUUCUGUAUGACAGUAAUCAUUGUUACUAACAUUUAACAACACAAACAUAUACCUCUGAAUCAAUUGAAUAACUGAACACAUUCAAAUAGCUUAGUUUGAAAAUGUAACUUUCUUCUUUUGAAUAAGCAGUUUUGUUAUGGAGCUAAAUCAGUCAGUUUAACAAAGGGCAGUAUGUUGAUGAAUUAUGUAUGUUUUCUGCAUUUUCUGCCUGCUGAUAAUUGACAGGUAUCAUGGCACCUUCUACUAGCUUCCUGUAAUUAUGAGCCACAUAUCAAAUACAGACUUGUAUACUGUUUCCCCUC